UACGUAGGGGGCAAGCGUUGUCCGGAAUCAUUGGGCGUAAAGAGCGUGUAGGCGGCCAGAAAAGUCCGCUGUGAAAACUCGAGGCUCAACUUCGAGCUGUCGGUGGAAACUUUCUGGCUAGAGUCCGGAAGAGGAGAAUGGAAUUCCUGGUGUAGCGGUGAAAUGCGCAGAUAUCAGGAAGAACACCCGUGGCGAAGGCGGUUCUCUGGGACGGUACUGACGCUGAGACGCGAAAGCGUGGGGAGCAAAAGGG
rnacentral:rRNA from 1 species